rnacentral:lncRNA from 1 species
UUUGAAUCCCCUCUUUCGAUUAGUAGGGGAUUCCUUAGCUUAGCAUCAAUCCCAUUCUUUGCGGAUAAAAGUACACUACCCUGCUUGCCUGUAACCUUCUGCUUGCUUGACUACAGUCACUCCUAUUAGGUCACGAACUUCCUUAACUUAAGAGAGCUGGGUACCCCUUAUUUGAUUUGCUGACAGUUGCCCCUGAUUCUCUUGUGAAUUCCAACAUGCCCUCAAGCAAGGGUCUCUCAUCCAUGCAUGAUCUAAAUGCCUCUCCUUUAGUCGAGUUACUACGUUCCUUGAGCAGGGAGUGGUCUGGGGCAACCCUUGAGACCACACCAUCUACGACCAUCAUACACAAGACUUUGGGCCUACUCUAGCUCCAGAUAAAGGAUCUCUCUAUCUGAAAGGGUAGUGAGUUACUGUCGAAGUGUC